UGAGCUGAGGCAUGAAUGGGGCUGAGCUGGGAACAAGGUUCCUGUAGGAGGAGCUGACGACAAGCUGCUCACAGAGUGAUUGGCACAAACAGAAGGGGCUGCAGCCAUUACUGCAAGACUUAGGAUCAAUAAAUACCCUUUGUUCUUCUUAAAAUUACCUUGUUUUCUUUUUAGACUCUGAAGUGAGAGAUUCGGAUUUUAAUUGAUCGCUACCGCGUGCUUUGCCUCUGACAUCCUGACAAAUGUCAAACACAUUUACAUACAGUAAUUGUUUUGUUUUGUUUUUUUUUCAAAGAUAUGGUUAAAAAAAGAAAGAAAAGAAAAAUGCAUCUUUGUACCCAACAGUCAUGUUCACCACUGCAGGCGUGGGUAGACAUUGUGUACAUUCACCAUGGACACAUCUGGAGCUGAGCGACCGUGAAUGUUCCCGUUCACACAACAGCGGAUUGCAAACAGAAAGCUUUGCAUUGUGGUGGAGAGCAAAGGGCAUUGUGUGAGCAUCUUGCUCAGGGUUCCAUAUUCACCUGUGUUUGCACCUGGCCUGCUAAAAAAGGGACUAUGGAAGGCAACCUCGAGCCAGGACUCACUGCUUUGUGCAAAAGGGUAGUACAACCCAGUGCCUCCUGUGGCUUAGAUACUGGCUGAACUUAUUAUACAAGGUUAUGUAAAUAAAAUAUACAAGGUUA
rnacentral:lncRNA from 1 species